rnacentral:lncRNA from 15 species
AAGUUCUAUACUAGUGCCAAACAAACUGCAGUCAUAUGUUUAAAGUAAAAUUCUCUGAAAGCACAAAAUGCCAACUAUGGAAUAUCUUUGUGAGCAUAGAGGUGACAUAGUGAACUUGUUAAUCUACAACAAAUAGAAUAUUUCCUAGUUGCUUUGAAUGUUGCUUGUGCUGCUGCACUCUAUAAUUAAACUACUGAGUACUUGGAGUUAGUAGAAAAACCAGCAGAAAGGAGGAAGUGUUUCAGCAAGAACAGCAGUGUGAAGUGUCUCUGUACACCACAGCUUUUAGUUGAGUUUUAUCCUCUGCUCUGCCACUGAACACUCAUACAGAGCAUCCUUUCUGUCUCAGCCAUGGGGAGCACACAACACAGAAACUUCUGUUUGAUCACAGUCUCUCUUCUCUUGACCGUAUCUCCACCUGCUGCAGGUCAGUGCAUUCUCCUGGGUUAAAUACUUGCUGUUCUUCAUUUAUACUGUAAAUAUUGAAACACUGUAUCUUACUGCCUUUUCUUUUCAUAGACAGUCAGAUCAGAUUAUCUGGGUCUACUCCGUGCUCUGGAAGAGUUGAAAUCUAUUACAACGGUGCCUGGGGAACAGUCUGUGAUGACUACUGG